CAGCAGCCGCGGUAAUACGAAGGGUGCAAGCGUUACUCGGAAUUACUGGGCGUAAAGCGUGCGUAGGUGGUGGUUUAAGUCCGUUGUGAAAGCCCUGGGCUCAACCUGGGAAUGGCAGUGGAUACUGGCUCGCUAGAGUGUGUCAGAGGAUGGUGGAAUUCCCGGUGUAGCGGUGAAAUGCGUAGAGAUCGGGAGGAACAUCAGUGGCGAAGGCGGCCAUCUGGGACAACACUGACGCUGAGGCACGAAAGCGUGGGGAGCAAACAGGAUUAGAUACCCCAGUAGUCCCUGUCUCUUAUAC
rnacentral:rRNA from 1 species